AUGCAGCUAGUCAGAAUGCGGCGCCAACGAGUGAUAGUUGAAACUGACUCUAUAAUGCAGAAGCAAGCUGUCACCUCUGAUGCUUAUGACCUUUCUCAGUUAGGUGUUGUCUUCAGAGACAUCAAGUUUCAGUUUAGAGUUGGUUUCAUGAAUGUUUGUGUUGAACACUGUCCAAGAAUGUGUAAUCAAGCUGCGCACGGCACAGUCAUGAAUGUAGGUACCUAUGAAAUUUGGCUUGGCCAGUUUCCAAUCUUUGUAUCAGACUGUGUAGCUGGAGAUUUGUCCAGCCAAGCUAUCUAA
rnacentral:rRNA from 1 species